rnacentral:snoRNA from 1 species
AUGCACUGUAUUUGAACCUCAUUGGUCUCAUCCAUGACCUUCAAGGCCAAGCUACAGUGCUAGAUCAAAUUCAAACUUGUUCAUAACUGGAGCCUCCUGGCGACACUCCCAGAUUGCUUUUUUAAAUACAAGUUACAUCU